GACAGAGGAGCCAAGCGUUGUCCGGAUUGACUGGGCGUAAAGCGCACGCAGGCGGCUCGGCGCGUGGGGUGUGAAAGCUGGCGGCUUAACUGCCAGACGCCAUCCCAUACGGCUGGGCUCGAGCCCUGCAGAGGUCCAUGGAAUUGCCGGUGUAGUGGUGAAAUGCGUAGAUAUCCGGAGGAACACCAGUGGCGAAAGCGGCCACCUGGACUGUACCUGACGCUCAAACACGAAAGCUAGGGGAGCGAACGGG
rnacentral:rRNA from 1 species